rnacentral:sRNA from 1 species
GUUGCAGUGAGCUGAGAUCUCGCCAUUACACUCCAGCCUGGGUGACAGAGUGAGACUCUGUCCCCCCCGCCCCAAAAAAAAAAACGGGAAGGAGAGACAGCCUCAGCUAGAGCCCUUUCCUUCUGACACAUGAAUGUCCUUCUCUCCAGGGAUUUGGACAUUUGGUGCCAUCUUCAGAAGAUCCAGGCGUCCUGGGAAUCGUGUAUGACUCAGUUGCUUUCCCUGAGCAGGACGGGAGCCCCCCUGGCCUCAGAGUGACUGUGAGGAGGAGGAAACUUUGCCUAGUGGCAUUUCCAGAGGGCUCCUCUGUGCUCCAAUGUAGGCAAGGCCAGACUGAUCAGUGCUAUAUUCCCUCCUUAGGUGAUGCUGGGAGGUUCCUGGUUACAGACACUGGAGGCUAGCGGCUGUGUCUUAUCUCAGGAGCUGUUUCAACAGCGGGCCCAGGAAGCAGCUGCUACACAAUUAGGACUGAAGGAGAUGCCGAGCCACUGCUUGGUCCAUCUACACAAGAACUGCAUUCCCCAGUAUACACUAGGUCACUGGCAAAAACUAGGUAAGUUGGGAAAACAGCUGGGCUGAGGAGGGCCAAGGACAUCAGACCCCCAGCUAAAACAUUCCUUUUAUCCUUUCCUUCCAGAGUCAGCUAGGCAAUUCCUGACUGCUCACAGGUUGCCCCUGACUCUGGCUGGAGCCUCCUAUGAGGGAGUUGCUGUUAAUGACUGUAUAGAGAGUGGGCGCCAGGCAGCAGUCAGUGUCCUGGGCACAGAACCUAACAGCUGAUCCCC